GUAUUGUAUAAAAAAUAGAGUUCGGAGCUGUGUGAGUGGCAUAAUAUCAUGGGCCUUAUUGGGAUGUCUGGUGUCUCAAUGUAGCGUUUUAGUUGAUAUUUUUAUACUACCAUGGUUAUAGGGCAUAUUUGUGGAUUCGAAUUAGAACUCCCUUGUCAGGGGCUGUUGGGGGGUGAUUUUUUUCUUUUUCCGAUGUGACGGGUGGUCCUGGACUAUAAGGUGACGAAAAUGCUUUUAAUGGGUUGUGGUUCGGAGGUGCCGAAUAACUAUAGGUUUUCAUUGCGGUUUAGGUUAGAAGUUAGGAAUCUUAAAAAGUACAUUUGUUUUCAAAUCUUGGAGCUGAAUGUCAGAUUGGGUUAAUAUGGAGCGUGUUUGUAAACCCGGUUUGUUAGUCGAAUGGCUAGCGAGUCUUCACGGUAUUCGAUCGCUAGAUGCGUGUGAAGCGGCACUUGGAUGCAGGGGUCAUACUUUGGAUUAGACAUUCUGUAAGGAGUCCUUCCGGGGUGUGGGCAGGAGUGCAGUUUUAAUUUAUGGCGGAUCUACAAGNUUUGUUGGAUACUCGUUGAAGGCAAGGGCUGAGUAUGUCCUGAACGUGGAAGGGGUCUCUGAAGCAUCUAUGAGAACCUUAGGCAUUUUCCUUUUAAAUAAAGACAGCCGCUUGAAGGUGUAUGUUAGUCGCUACGUAGCUUUUUUCGUUUACUGACUUGGGUAGCGCGUUAGUUUCGCCCACGAAUGGGAAACCAUCUUUAUGUGUGGGUGUCAGUAAGGGCGGGAUCUCUAAGGAGUCCUUCCGUGAGAUAACUCAGAACAAAGGGGGAGAAGGUGACAUCUUCUCGGGCCCUAUCUGCCGGGGGUUACACACGCGUUACAAUGGAUGGUACAAAGGGCAGCAAAGUCGAGAGGCGAAGCAAAUCCCAUAAAACCAUUCUCAGUUGGGAUUGCAGGGUGCAACUUGCUUCAGUAGCCGAAUC
rnacentral:rRNA from 1 species